AAUUUGAUCAUUGACAUGUUUCAAAAUAUUUUACCCAUUCCAAAUAUCAAUUAAAUUUAUGAACAAUUUUAAAAACCUAUGAAUUCUAAAUAAUUUAUAAACAACACAAUUUAAAUAAAUAUGAAAAUUUUCAACUUGAUUCCACAAAAAUGUAAAAACUCCUUCCAAAUAGCCCAACCUAGGAAGUCACGAAUUCACGAUCCAUAGUCCCAAUUUCUAAAAUCUUUCUAAUUAAAAAAUUUUCACUUUUGCAAAAACUUUUUGCUUUUCACUGUAGGAUGUCUAUGCUGCCUUUAGCAACUGCCAUUACCAUAAAACUUCCUCUUCUUCCAACCCAUAGACUCGUCUCUUUAGUUGGUUGUUUGAUCUUUACUACAUUAAUCCCAAAAUAAAUCUUCUUCACAAGAUGCAAAUCAGAUUUGCAUGGGUCUUGAAAUGAAAACCUCCACAUCUUCUAGUAGCUUCACAAAGGAGACGAGAGCAAGAUCUUGAAAAUGAAAGCCCCCAAAUAGCUCUAGUUUAGGACCAACUACAUGUUGUCGUUUCAUGAUGUGAUGAAUCACCUCGAAAUUGCCUUUUGCCUCAUUUCUUAUUUGUUCCCAUUCGAAUCUAUGAGAUUCCAUUCCCUAAAAGUCAAUAGAAAUAUAGGUUGAGGUGUGAAUAUGGUACUCUUCCAAGGGUUACGGUUUUUGAUAGAGAGUGAAGGCUUAGGGUUUUCGAAAGGAGUGAAGGCUUAGGGUUUUUUAUGCUCUAAGGGUUUGGGUCUUCUAAGGGCUUUUAUACUCAUAUCUAGUAUGAUGUGUAAGAAAAUGGCCAAG
rnacentral:lncRNA from 1 species